UACGAAGGGGGCGAGCGUUGUUCGGAUUUACUGGGCGUAAAGGGCGCGUAGGCGGGCUAUCAAGUCUGGGGUGAAAUCCCGCGGCUCAACCGUGGAACUGCCUCAGAUACUGACGGCCUAGAGGAAGGUAGGGGCAUGCGGAACUAACGGUGGAGCGGUGAAAUGCGUUGAUAUCGUUAGGAACUCCGGUGGCGAAAGCGGCGUGCUGGACCUUUUCUGACGCUGAGGCGCGAAAGCUAGGGGAGCAAACGGG
rnacentral:rRNA from 1 species